CACAAGCUGGUUGGGAGAAGAUGAGAGACGAAGAGUUAAGGAAGGGCCACCCUGGUCAGCAGCAAAUCCCCAUUCUCACAAGAUUUCCAAUUAGUUUCUUCUCCUCAUAGAAAACAAAAUAGGCACCUGACUUUAUGUAACUCAUUUCGUAAUUAUCCGAUUCUUUUAAAGCCCAGUUCUAUUUUACAUGCAGGCUGGGACUUCACAAUUCCUUCCACAUUGGAGGGAGGCGCUUUUCCGGUUUGUCAUUGUUUGAGUGCAGCUGAGAAAUGUGGCCCCAUUGUGAAAACAUGUUUCACCUUUACAGUUUGUUUUUGUUUCAAUAAACUGGGUUGCUUUUCAGUUUUGUGAUGCUAUGCUUCUCAAAACGCCUUUCAGAAUUAUUUGUCAAACAUAUUAGAAUUCUCCCGAUUCACAUUUAUCUUGUGACUCACUUUGACUUUAUGUAAAUCCUCUCCUCCCCAUUAGGAUAAAGUACAAUCCAUUAGAAUAGAUUCAUCUUAAUAAUUUUUACCCAUGAAUGAUGAAGUUUAUCCUGAUUUUAUUCCUGAUUUUGUUUUCCUAUGAGAGGCAAUUAAAUUCAUCCUAUUAGCUGGCAACCAUUUCCCUAAUUUUUAUAUAUUAUUUGAAACUGCACAGCCUCCUAUUAGAUGCUGAAAAGCAGUAGACACGCAGACUAAGCCAAUUAAAAUGAAAUGAAAACUACUGGAUAUUCUGGUCAUAUGAUAAUUUAGUUAAACUGAAGUGCAAACAAAGAGCCGUAGAUUGAGGCUUGGAAAUCUUUUUGAUAAGGAAAUAAAAAUCGUCACAUCCAGCAGCCAAACGUUGCCCACUCCAGGGCACUCACUUGUUACAAGGAAUUAAACUGAAUGUGGGUAGGCAUAAUUCUGUCCUUGCCAAGGAGAGCUCCUUCCUUUAUGUUAUGUGGCUCUUAUCCUUGCCUUCCAAUCUAUUAACAACCUGCUGUCUGCUGCACGCAUUCGCCGGUGUGCACCUGCCAGGUGAGGCUUGAUCACACGACCCCACAGCAUUGCAGGCAGCUCUGUGCCGUGCAUGGUCUGGUGCAGUCACGGUCAAAGAAGUCAAAUAGCUGUUAAUAUGUUUUUCAAGUAGAAUCUUUAGGUUAUUAUCUAACGCCUCAUUCUUGAUUUUUAUUUCUGCAUUUCUCUGCUCCUGACAUCACAACUUCAUAGGUUAUGACCUGCAGUGGCUUCCCCUGAAGACCUGUGUUCCACUAGCAGGCUGUCAUCUGAUGGGUCCUGCCCACACACUCUGGUGCUGUUCUCGCAGCUGGCUUGAUGAUGGCACCAUAUCCACCUACACCUUUACUACACGUUCCUAUUAAUAUCACAGUAAUGUAGUUUCAAAAUGUUGGCACCCAUAUUCCUACAGUAGUGUCUCAAAACCCUAUGACAUAAUUAAGCAAAUAUUAUAUUCCCUAUUUGCUGAGACAGGCCUAGAGAGGGCCGGAUAAGAGUCCUGAAUUCAAACAGGUAAUGAGGGAAUUUGAUCUAGCACUAGGACUCAGGCUUCCUGACUUCCAGGUGAAUCCUCUGCCCGCGGCACCACGUUACACCUGUUGGCGGGGGGGGGGGGGGGGGGAGGUGGAUGGGUGGGGGGCGGUCUGUGCAUCGCCGCAGGUGCGAUGAUAGGGCCUGGGCUGGGGAGGAGCUUGGAAACCCAUGUGCCUUCUUGUUGUACUAACAGCGUCCAUGGAUGUUUAUCCCAGCACAUUCACCCGGUGUAUGGAGAUGCACCUGACUGCAAUAACUCAGGCAAUCCCUGAGAAUGACUCUAUGAUCCAAGAAGAAUGUGUGUUCAGCCUUCUGAGCUAAGGAGUCUGGGAGUGGCAAACCCUGAGAUUCAGUCCACAUCUGUGAAGGACAUCGGAGCGCCUGGCCCAUCCCUUGCAACACAGGCCAUAUGGGGGAUCGAGGCCCUUUGUUUUGGGUUAAAUGGAAGUUGUUGCUAAGUGAAAAUGCUGUAUAACCUGCAUGCUUUUUAAAAAUGGGAGCAGUUUUCCAGUCCAGCUCGCUGCUACUGGACCGCCCUGUCUGUUAAGUCCUCAAUAAACCCUAUGUCCUGUUCCAUGGCUCUGGGUCUCUUCUUCAGCCUUUUGGACGUGGUGCCAUCCCUAUUGGAUUCCACAGGGUCUGUCAGGCAAUGGUGGCAUGAGUGAACACAACCCAUGUCACUCACUGCACUCACUCUUGGUAAGACAGAGCUAUGUACAAGACAAUUCUUGCAGCAGUGGCUUAUUUUGAGCACAUUCAUACAUAUGAAAAUAUCUGGGGUUAGGCCAAGAAGAUGAGAUCAGUUGUUUGCACAAAUCUAUAAAUAUGGCAUCAUACAAUUGGAAUGAGCUUAUAAACCAAAUCCUUGGUUUUCUUCUAGACCAUUUAGGAACAUCCCUAACAUGUCUGAUUUUCUGGUUGACCGAAAUUGAGCUUUUUCCUUUUUUUUUUUCUAACAAACAGGGUUCCAAUAUCAGUAUUGAGCACUGUGUGCUGUAAGCCUCAUUGUGACUUUGGCUUGUGUCAGUGAGGUUUUAGCAGCUCCUCCCCUGCUGCCUGCUGUUUCACUUUCUUUGGUUUUAGUUUUGAUUUUAGUUAUCUGCUGUCAACUUUGGUCUGGAUAAUAUUAAAUGGAAAAUUCCAGAAAUAAUUUAUACAUUUUAAAUGGCACCCCUUUCUGACUAGCGUGAUGGAAUCUUGAGCCGUCCAGCCCAGGACAUGAAUCAUCCCUGUGUCCAGCAUCUCCAGCUGUCUACGCUCCCAGCCCGUGAGUCACUGAGGAGCCAUCUCCACGGCACCUGGAUUACUUGGAGCCAAAGAAGAAGCUAGAGUCCGCAGAGACACAGAAGGUGAUUAUGGGAGGGGAUGGCACCAAGGACAUAGGUGGCAGAUGCAACCUUGGAAACGAUGAGGCUCACCUUCUUCUAUAAGGUUGCAAAAAAGCAACGAAAACAUGCACAUUUACAGCAAAUUAGAGAACUGGGCAGGAGAAAAGUUGAAAGGAGUUGUCAGCUGACCUAAGUGAUCUGUCCAGAAAGGGUCACGGUGGGGGGUUUGGAGGUCAGAGGAGAAAGAACAAUAAUUUCAAUGAAAAAAAUCUAUUUUCUAAUUUGAGAAAUUAGAUAGAAAGAUAACUGAAAAUAUGUUGAAAGUGACCUUGCAUCAUUUAGGAACUGUUGGGUUUUUGUACUCAUCUUUAGUAAUUUUAUCCUGAAUACGCACAUGAGGUGUUUGGGAUCAGAGGCUGAUUCCUCAUCGAACACCUCAGUAUAAGUAGCACAUGUCAGCCUCACUUUGCCCUCAUCUCUACCCCAGGCCAACGUGCCGAGCACCAAGCCAGUUGUCCUGUAGGAGUAGUCAGACACCUUAUAGGUGAAGGCUGAAGAAAAGUGACUUUAUCAAGGGGAAGGAGGGAGCUCGCUACCACCCCAGUGAAAAGGUCUCUUGAUGGGGUCCACAGACUACAAGUGAAAAACCUCUACCCUCUAGAGAAUGAGGAAGACAUACAUAUGAAGAACUAUGGCUAAUAAUUUUCCAAAAUUGAAAAAGAACAUGAGUUUCUGAAACUGAAGAACUGAAGAAGUUCACUGAUACUCAAGUAUAAACUAACACAUACCAGACACCGUGGUGAAACUGCAGAUGGCCAACAUUAACAAUAAAAUCUUAAAAGAAUUCAGAAUGAAAAUCACAUGAUCUCUAAAGAAUCAAAAGUGCACUAAUGAGUAAUAUAUUUUAAAAUACUCGUGUAAAAUUAUUGUCAGCCUAGAUAGAAAUCUGGCUCAGCCUAACCAGCACUUGACUAUAAAGGAAACUGGACAUUUCAGACACAGGGAACAAAUGUACAAUCUAUAGAUCUUCACCAAAAAAUGUACUUAUGGAAAUUAAAUAAGAAGAAAAGAAUGUUUCCAAGAAGAAGCAGUGGACAUUACAAAAUGUGCUGGUAAAGCUAAAUAGAUAUGGCCUGAAAAAAUAAAGCAGGGAGAUGAAUAAAAGCAAUGCUGAAAUAAAACCACAAUGAAAGGGAA